rnacentral:lncRNA from 1 species
CAUUGGUGACGUGCUCGAGCUGUCGGAUAAUGGCCUGGGUGGCCCUGCUAUGCAUCGUGUCGAGCUCGGUCACCGACUUCUGAAGUGCGUCCAGCUUGUCGAUGAGCACAUUCGACAAGCGCACGGCCCCCUGGGUAGUGGUGCUCAUGUCCUUCCGGAUGUCAUCGCGCAUCUUCCGAGUGAUGCCCGUGACCUCACUCAUA